rnacentral:rRNA from 1 species
GAUGAACGCUGGCGGCGCGCCUAAUACAUGCAAGUCGAGCGAAUGGAUUAAGAGCUUGCUCUUAUGAAGUUAGCGGCGGACGGGUGAGCAACACGUGGGUAACCUGCCCACAAGACUGGGAUAACUCCGGGAAACCGGGGCUAAUACCGGAUAAUAUUUUGAACUGCAUGGUUCAAAAUUGAAAGGCGGCUUAGGCUGUCACUUAUGGAUGGACCCGCGACGCAUUAGCUAGUUGGUGAGGUAACGGCUCACCAAGGCAACGAUGCGUAGCCGACCUGAGAGGGGGAUCGGCCACACUGGGACUGAGACACGGCCCAGACUCCUACGGGAGGCAGCAGUAGGGAAUCUUCCGCAAUGGACGAAAGUCUGACGGAGCAACGCCGCGUGAGUGAUGAAGGCUUUCGGGUCGUAAAACUCUGUUGUUAGGGAAGAACAAGUGCUAGUUGAAUAAGCUGGCACCUUGACGGUACCUAACCAGAAAGCCACGGCUAACUACGUGCCAGCAGCCGCAGUAA